GGCCUGUUGGUCUAGGGGUAUGAUUCUCGCUUCGGGUGCGAGAUGGUCCCGGGUUCAAAUCCCGGACAGGCCC